UCCGUAGGCGGUGCGGCAAGUCGGAAGUGAAAUCUCAGGGCUUAACCCUGAGGCUGCUUCCGAAACUGCCGUGCUCGAGUGCGAGAGAGGCGAGUGGAAUUGCAGGUGUAGCGGUGAAAUGCGUAGAUAUCUGCAGGAACAUCCGAGGCGAAAGCGGCUCGCUGGAUCGCAACUGACGCUGAGGGACGAAAGCUAGGGGGAGCAAACAGGAUUAGAUACCCUGGUAGUCCUAGCCCUAAACGAUCAGGACUGGGCGUGGGCCUCGUACGGGGCUCGUGCCGCAGCUAACGCGUUAAGUCCUGCGCCUGGGGAGUACGGUCGCAAGGCUGAA
rnacentral:rRNA from 1 species